rnacentral:rRNA from 1 species
UACAGAGACCUCAAGCGUUAUCCGGAAUCAUUGGGCGUAAAGCGUACCGAUAGGUGGUCAAGAAAGCCAAAAGUGAAAUCUCCGAGCUCAACUCGGAAUCUGUCUUUUGGAACUUCUCGACUAGAGGGGCAAAGAGGAAGCUGGAACGAACGGUGUAGUAGUGAAAUGCGUUGAUAUCGUUCGGAACACCAAUAGCGUAGGCAGGCUUCUGGGUGCCACCUGACACUGCUAGGACGAAAGCGUGGGGAGCGAAUGGG